AGUGAACGCUGGCGGUAGGCCUAACACGUGCAAGUCGAACGGCAGCACAGUAAGAGCUUGCUCUUACGGGUGGCGAGUGGCGGACGGGUGAGGAAUACAUCGGAAUCUACUUUUUCGUGGGGGAUAACGUAGGGAAACUUACGCUAAUACCGCAUACGACCUACGGGUGAAAGCAGGGGAUCUUCGGACCUUGCGCGAUUGAAUGAGCCGAUGUCGGAUUAGCUAGUUGGCGGGGUAAAGGCCCACCAAGGCGACGAUCCGUAGAUGGUCUGAGAGGAUGAUCAGCCACACUGGAACUGAGACACGGUCCAGACUCCUACGGGAGGCAGCAGUGGGGAAUAUUGGACAAUGGGCGCAAGCCUGAUCCAGCCAUACCGCGUGGGUGAAGAAGGCCUUCGGGUUGUAAAGCCCUUUUGUUGGGAAAGAAAAGCAGCAGGUUAAUACCCCGCUGUUCUGACGGUACCCAAAGAAUAAGCACCGGCUAACUUCGUG
rnacentral:rRNA from 1 species